rnacentral:rRNA from 1 species
GUUUGAUCCUGGCUCAGAGCGAACGCUGGCGGCAGGCUUAACACAUGCAAGUCGAGCGGGCGUAGCAAUACGUCAGCGCGUCGACGGGUGAGUAACGCGUGGGAACAUACCUUUUGGUUCCGAACAACACAGGGAAACUUGUGCUAAUACCGGAUAAGCCCUUACGGGGAAAGAUUUAUCGCCGAUCGAUUGGCCCGCGUCUGAUUAGCAAUUUGGUGAGGUAACGGCUCACCAAGGCGACGAUCAUUAGCUGGUCUGAGAGGAUGAUCAGCCACAUUGGGACUGAGACACGGCCCAAACUCCUACGGGAGGCAGCAGUGGGGAAUAUUGGACAAUGGGCGCAAGCCUGAUCCAGCCAUGCCGCGUGAGUGAUGAAUGCCCUAAGGUUGUAAAGCUCUUUUGUGCAGGAAGAUAAUGACGGUACCGCAAGAAUAAGCCCCGGCUAACUUCUUGCCGGCCGCCGCGGUAAUACGAAGGGGGCUAGCGUUGCUCGGAAUCACUGGGUGUAAAGGGUGCGUAGGCUGGUCUUUAAGUCAGGGGUGAAAUCCUGGAGCUCAACUCCAGAACUGCCUUUGAUACUGAGGAUCUUGAGUUCGGGAGAGGUGAGUGGAACUG